UCAUACUUUGUGUAGUUCCCCUUUUUAAAAUAUUUUCGUAUGUACUUUCUGCAGGUUUAUUUAUUUAUUUAUUUUUUGAAGCUGGUAAAGUUUACUUUCUGCAAACUUUUGUUCUUCUCUUUUUAGUUUGAAUCAACUUUAGAGAUCUUUCUUGAAUUUGUGCUUCUUAGUUGUUGGAGAAGGUGCUUUCUCCUGUUGAACUCAUCAAAUUGUUCUGAACUUGAUAAACUCGUAGUACUUUCUCUUGUUGACUGAAACAUAAUUGAUGCUGGAAUCUGGAUAGGUUUUGUGAGAUGGCCAAUAGGGUCUCGUUCUCUAGAGGACUGUGGCAACUGGAAACGGGUAGGUAAUAGCAGCUGCUAUGGAAUACCACCAUUGUAAAGGACUGAAAAUGAAUUUGUGAGCCACCAUACAGCAUGCACGGUCUUACAACUUUUUGAAGUACCUAUCUUUCUGGCUGACAGAAAGUCAGUCACUCUGCCUCAUCUAUCUUCAACCAAGCAUUAUUUAUAUAACAUGUUUUUAUGUAGAAUUUGGAUAAUCUCAGGUAUUUUAAAGGCAAGAUCUGCAUUGGUCAUUCUUGUUUGGCCAAGAUUUUUUUUUUUUUUUUUUACUGUUAAAAGUUUUAGAUUUAUGAGAUGAGAUUUGUUAGAGGGGUUAGAAUCAACUUCUUUGAUUUUGUGUGUCAUCGUUAAUCUAGAAAACAUUCUUCCAGGAAUCAACAUCUGACACUCUGGCUUCCAUGAUAUCUGCCUCCUACUUUUGCCAGCAGUGAGCCCUCAAUUCUGCCCCUCUCCUGAAGUCUACUUUCCUUUCUUCACUUCCUCGAGCCCUGCCUUUUGUUCUGAAAGUGUACACUCUCACCAAUAAUCCUAGUGACAGCAUUCUGGCAUGUCAAUGACCCAAUUUUCAAUUGACUAAAACACCCUUAGUUUCCAGACUGCUCUGCUCCGUGCCAUUAUUUACAUUAUUAGCUCGAUGAUCUGAAGCUAUUUUAGGUUUGUUUAUCACAGACUUUUACAUUUUAAAGUUUGUACAGUCUCAGUUUUGCUGUCACAAUUUCAUGUGAAUAAUGAGGGUAUGGAAAGUUUGAUACGAGUAUGGAUUCUUGCUUAUAAUUUAUCCACUUGGUUAUGUCGAAUCUGAUUGACUAUCCAUCCUAAAAACAAGAUGUGGAACUUGAUUUACUUGUUUUUCUUUCAGUUUGGAUUUUCAAAUCAAGUCGAAGGACAGCUUGCAAAAAGAUUCUGUUACGAUUCCUCUAUGACCCCUCUGUGCACCUGUGUGAGAAGAGACUUAGAUGCUGAUCUAUGUCCGGAAUUUGCAUGAUGUUUCCUUGAGUUGAUACUGAAGACCUGGUCCAAAUAGAGGAAAAUGGAUAAUGAGGAUUCAUAUGCCGACCCAACUAGCCUGGGAUUUGUUGUUGUACUUGAUGUUUGCAAACCUCCCAACGAUGAUGGAUCUGGUGGAUGCAUGACUAGAAGGCUAGAAGCUUACGUUAGGAAGCAAUAGGUAUUUGUUAACACAGAUAAUCAGGGGGUAGUCUAACAGCACACGCAUGCAACAUCAAACAACAGGCAUAUGGAAUAUAGUGACAUUAACAAGUCCUGUUUAAUAUUGCUAUUUGCACUAUAGCUAACAUGACUGAACCACUGGUCUAUAUCGAUGCUUCUUGGACUCCUCUUCUUCAGUUGCUGCUCAUAGAGUGUGCCCUUAGGGCUUGCAGCUCUGCAGUCUAUCUGAUGGAUUUGUUAAUCUGCAGUUUUAUGAACUUCCAUCUUCAGAAGAGAACUAUUAAUUUAACCAGUGACAGAUAACCCUAACCGAAACAAGCACUUUUUCAUUUUUUUUAGUCUUGAACAAGCACUUUUUCAUAUGAAUUUACUAGCUAUGCUGAACUUUCUGUACCGUUGCUAGUCCUGUUAAGGUAAAUUUUUAUUUUUAUUGUUCCCUGUUAAGGUAAAAUCUUAUGAGAGAGUUUUGCAAUAGUUUUCCAUUCUAUCUAGACUUUUAUGCAUUGAGAUAUUUAACAGAAGAGCUUGGCAUUGUUCCUUCAUGAUGAAGCUCCCUGCUACCCCCUCUUUUUUCUCCAUUAGCAGAGGAUGGCUGCAUUAUCUUGAUGAAUUCUGCAAUGGAAUUUUCACAUUUCAGGAUGUACAAAGGGCUUUGUCCAAAUUACUGGUGAUCAGUGCUAUAUGGUCCUUUGACCUGGAGACUGUUGGAAUGGCUGCACAAGGCUCUUGUGCCCUAUAUAGUAUCAUCGCUAGAAGAAAACAACUAUGCCUCAGGCCUCUAAUUUUGUAUAUUGAAGUAGUUAUUUUCCUUCCAAUUUUCAUAAUCUGUACCAAACUUAUGUUCUUCUGAGCCUCUGACAAACAAUAAAAAAGGAAAAUCACUUGCUUCAGUA